CACGACAGCACGCUUUUACUUCCUCUUUACUACCGCGAGCCUGGAAGAAGCAGGCACAAAUAGGCCGCCAUGCCCGUUGCCAGGAGUUGGGUUUGUCGCAAGACUUAUGUCACCCCCCGUCGUCCCUUUGAGAAGUCCCGUCUUGAUCAGGAGUUGAAACUCAUUGGCGAGUAUGGACUGAGAAACAAGCGUGAGGUCUGGAGGGUUAAGUUCACCCUAGCCAAGAUCCGUAAGGCUGCCCGAGAGCUGCUUACUCUAGAUGAGAAGGAUCCCAGACGUCUGUUCGAGGGUAAUGCCUUGCUGAGACGUCUGGUGAGAAUCGGUGUGUUGGAUGAGGGUAAGAUGAAGCUUGAUUACAUCCUGGGUCUGAAGGUUGAGGACUUCUUGGAGAGGAGGUUGCAGACUCAGGUGUUCAAGCUUGGACUUGCCAAGAGUAUCCACCAUGCCCGUGUCCUGAUCCGUCAGAGGCACAUCCGAGGGCCACCUGUGUGUUACACACUCGGCUGAGAUCAGUUAUACUUUCAUCAAGGUCAAUUCGGUAUCAAAGCCGUAUACCUUGUUAGUAGAUAUUGCCCUGAGCCAAUCCAGCCGGCGAGUGAUUGGACUGUGGGUCACUGUGGUGGCUGUGAAGUGUUCGUAAACAAGUGGUGAACAUCCCCUCCUUCGUGGUUCGCCUGGAUAGCCAGAAGCACAUUGACUUCUCUCUGAGGUCUCCAUACGGUGGUGGACGUCCCGGCCGUGUCAAGAGAAAGAACAGCAAGAAGGGCCAGGGUGGUG